rnacentral:miRNA from 1 species
ACCCUCAUCGACCAGAAAGGAUUCCUUCUGGUUGAUGAGGUAUAACAUCCUCAUCAAGGGAAGGAAUCCCUUUGGGAUGAUGAGAAUAUUAUACCUCAUUGACCGGAAGGGAUACCCUCCGUCAAGAUGUUAUACCUCAUCAACCAGAAGGAAUCCCUUCCGUCAAUGAGGAU